UUUUUUUUAAGAAUCUAUUAAAUUUUUUAUAUUUAUUACAUUCGCCAUAAAAAUAAAAAACUCAUAUAAUAUAAAAGAAUUGAAAACUUUCACUCUCAAAAGUAAACGUUCUUGUCACUUAAUCUAAACUUUAAAUGUAAAUAUACUCAAUUUCAAUUAAUAUGUGAAAGCAACUUCUAUAGAGUUGUAAAUUAGAAAACUAUUUUAUUUUUUUC
rnacentral:lncRNA from 1 species